rnacentral:rRNA from 1 species
UACGUAGGUGGCAAGCGUUGUCCGGAUUUACUGGGCGUAAAGAGCGCGCAGGCGGUUCAUCAAGUCGAAUGUGAAAGCCCCCGGCUUAACUGGGGAGGGUCAUUCGAUACUGCUGAACUUGAAGGCAGGAGAGGGAAGUGGAAUUCCCGGUGUAGUGGUGAAAUGCGUAGAUAUCGGGAGGAACACCAGUGGCGAAGGCGACUUCCUGGCCUGUUCUUGACGCUGAGGCGCGAAAGCUAGGGGAGCGAACGGG